rnacentral:tRNA from 1 species
UGGCGUAUAGUUCAGUGGUAGAACCGACCGCUCAUAACGGUCUUGUCGGGAGUUCGAUUCUCUCUGCGCCAACCA